rnacentral:rRNA from 1 species
UACGAAGGGGGCGAGCGUUGUUCGGAAUUACUGGGCGUAAAGGGCGCGUAGGCGGCGUCCCAAGUCAGAUGUGAAAGUCCUGGGCUUAACCUGGGGACUGCAUUUGAUACUGGGUUGCUUGAAUUCGGGAGAGGAUAGCGGAAUUCCCAGUGUAGAGGUGAAAUUCGUAGAUAUUGGGAAGAACACCGGUGGCGAAGGCGGCUAUCUGGACCGACAUUGACGCUGAGGCGCGAAAGCGUGGGGAGCAAACAGG